UGAAAUUCUAUCAAUUUUAGGAUGCAAGCCUCAGUCAAAGACAGAGAAGGUCUGGAAGAAGGCAAAGCCUGAGAGGAAGAUUUGUUAGAGGCCCUUACUGCAGCCCUGGGGGAGAUUGAGCGACAUGGAAAAGAGGUUACCAAUCCAAGAAAAGCAAGACUUCCUGCAAGCCCUAGUCAUCUGGUCCCAGAGAGCAUGUAAACUCAUGAUCAUGAGGCAGGAGACAAAGGAGUGGGACCCUACAGAGCAUGUGCAGGGGAGAUAUGCUGACCUCAAACAAAGAAACAAGACCAGCCAGCAAAUUAAACAGUCCAGGGCUGCCUCUACCCAGAGUAUUCUGAUGUGUUCCUCAGUCCCAUCCAUUGUUGAUUCAAAUCUGGAAUCCUGCAUCCCAGCAGCCACUUUUCACCUGAGG